rnacentral:piRNA from 1 species
UCAGAUGAAUACAUAUGUAUC